rnacentral:rRNA from 1 species
GACGAACGCUGGCGGCGUGCCUAAUACAUGCAAGUAGAACGCUGAAGGAGGAGCUUGCUUCUCUGGAUGAGUUGCGAACGGGUGAGUAACGCGUAGGUACCUGCCUGGUAGCGGGGGAUAACUAUUGGAAACGAUAGCUAAUACCGCAUAAGAGUAGAUGUCGCAUGACAUUUGCUUAAAAGGUGCAAUUGCAUCACUACCAGAUGGACCUGCGUUGUAUUAGCUAGUUGGUGAGGUAACGGCUCACCAAGGCAACGAUACAUAGCCGACCUGAGAGGGUGAGAGGCCACACUGGGACUGAGACACGGCCCAGACUCCUACGGGAGGCAGCAGUAGGGAAUCUUCGGCAAUGGACGGAAGUCUGACCGAGCAACGCCGCGUGAGUGAAGAAGGUUUUCGGAUCGUAAAGCUCUGUUGUAAGAGAAGAACGAGUGUGAGAGUGGAAAGUUCACACUGUGACGGUAUCUUACCAGAAAGGGACGGCUAACUACGUG